rfam:Betaproteobacteria bacterium MOLA814 MOLA814_Contig3, whole genome shotgun sequence.
GCUUCGGUCUUGUGAUCGAUGCAGUCUGCACCAGUACCUGAUACGGCUGGCGCAA